rnacentral:lncRNA from 1 species
AUGUGUCAGCAAUCAAACAUCGAAACACAGAGUCAGGUUCCAUUACAGAGGAGAAACGUGGGAAACUUGGAGUGGCCUGGACCAGCUCAGUCUUCAGUACAUCGCUCCAGGUGUGUGCUGAGGUCUCCACUUCCAACUGGCACCUGGUGGGAAGACUUUCCAGAGUGGCUGGAAAAAGCCAGGGGACCCAAAACCCCACAAGCAGAAGCAAAGGGAGCUUUGCAGAGGGCCCAGGGGGACCCCUGGCCGAUGAGGUGGUGUCUGCAGCGCCCCAUGGGAAAGCGAAGUUCGGGAUGCUUGUCCUCUCCCUGGGAGCUGUCGUCUCUGGGAUGUCACAAUCCAUGUGAGCCAAAGAAAUGCUCUUCCAACACCCAAAGAAAGGGAGAAAGGAGGAAAAGACCAGACAGGAUGGGAGCCCACUGAGCCCGGCCUUGACUGCCACCCCCGCCACAGGGGGCAGACUCAGAGACAAGGGGCAGGUGUGCAAGAGAGGGGCCCCGGGUUUCCUGAUUCUCCAAGUCCUUCCUGCCUGCCCUCCCCCUAAGGGCUUUGUUUUAAGUCCCCGGCAGCAGGCCUCCAGAAUCUUGUGGGCUUCUCGCCCAGGAUCCAAUCUGCUUGGCCUCUAACCUCUUCGGAAAACAAAGAUAUGAGCAUUUCCUGAACAACCUCACAGACCGAAAACACACCCACAGAGACUGACAACAAUUUUGAGAGCGGAUUACAGAAAGGGUACUUAGAGUCGGUAUUUAAUGUCCUGUGUAUUUCAGAUAGAUAGGUAGAUAGAGCAAAAGGCGUUCCUGGAACUCAUCAUGGAAACGUUCCAAUACGACUAUUAUGCAGCCAUUAGGAGCAAUAAUGUAGAAAGAUUACGUGUUGACAUAGCAAAUGUAUUAUCUCAGAGCAUGUGUGUCUGUGUGUGUGUGUGUGUCUAUGCAUAAAGAAAUAUAUAGAAAGACGGUCAUUCGAGUGAUGGAAUACUGCUGAAUUUUUAUUUCGUUAUACUUUUCUGUAUCAUUUAAACGUCUCUGUAACGAUCAUGAAUCCUUUACAAAAUUAAAAAGAAAUGAAUCUAUUUUUUCAUUUUGGAGAAAUAACAUUUAUUUUUUAAUAUGAAAAUUUAUCCAUAUGAGUCCGAGCAGCUCAACAUCUUUAUUUUAAACAACUUGAAAGGCACCUGCGUAGUUUGGGCUCUCACUGUGACUGCUAGAGGGCACACUGCAUCCCCGGUCCUCGGGUCUCAGCAGGACUCUCCUGCGCCAGCCUGGAGGAUGGGAUGGGAGUGAAGCGAACGCUUCUGGUUACUUUCUCCACCAGUCCUUGCUCCAGCGGGAAAACUGACUCUCUGGUGUAGAGACGGCUGGGUCCCUCUUCCCUGCCACACUAACGACAUUGAACGUCCCCCUGUCUGGUUUUCCCCCUUGGU